AUGCAGCGGUCUGGGCGGGGUCUGCAGCGGUCGGGUUCGAAGCGUGUGCUCGACCCCACCAACGGCACUGGCGGCGGCGGCGGCGACGACGACCAUGCGGCCAAACGGCCUCGCGUGCCCGCCCUUGCAAGUGUCAUUGUGGAAGCACUAAAAGUCGACAGUCUGCAGAAGCUUUGUUCAUCGCUGGAGCCUAUUCUUCGAAGAGUUGUAAGCGAAGAGGUAGAGCGUGCUUUGGCCAAGUUGGGUCCUGCUAGAAUUGAAGGAAGGUCCUCUCCCAAAAGAAUAGAAGGCCCUGAUGGGACAAAUCUUCAGCUUCAAUUUAGAAGCAGGUUGUCUCUCCCACUCUUUACUGGUGGAAAAGUAGAAGGCGAGCAGGGGGCAGCUAUACAUGUUGUGCUGCUGGAUACCAACACUGGUUGUGUUGUCACUUCGGGACCUGAAUCAUGUGCAAAGCUGGAUGUUCUUGUGCUUGAGGGUGACUUCAAUAAAGAGGAAGAUGAGGGUUGGACAGAAGAGGAGUUUGAAGGCCAUAUUGUCAAGGAGCGCGAAGGGAAAAGACCUCUCUUGACUGGUGACCUUCAGGUGACUCUUAAAGAAGGUGUUGGAACCAUAGGGGAGCUUAUCUUCACUGACAACUCCAGCUGGAUAAGAAGCAGGAAAUUCAGACUUGGGCUCAGGGUUGCCUCUGUUUUUUCUGAAGGUAUUCGUGUUAGGGAGGCGAAGACAGAAGCUUUUACUGUUAAGGAUCAUAGAGGGGAAUUGUACAAAAAACACUACCCUCCUGCUUUGAAGGAUGAUGUUUGGAGAUUAGAGAAGGUUGGCAAGGAUGGUGCAUUCCACAAGAAGUUAAAUGGAAGCGGAAUCUAUACAGUUGAAGAUUUUCUUCGGCUUCUUGUUAGGGAUCAACAGAGGUUGCGAAGUAUUCUUGGCAGUGGCAUGUCAAAUAAGAUGUGGGAAAGCCUUGUUGAGCAUGCAAAGACUUGUGUCUUAGGUGGAAAGCAUUAUAUUUAUUAUGUGAAUGAUUCAAGAAAUGUCGGUGCAAUAUUCAAUAACAUAUAUGAGUUCACUGGCUUGAUUGCUGAUGAUCAGUUCAUUUCAGCUGAAAAUCUCACGGACAACCAGAAGGUCUAUGCUGACACGUUGGUAAAGAAAGCAUAUGAGGAUUGGAUGCAUGCUGUAGAAUAUGAUGGUAAGGCACUUAUUGGCUUCAAGCAGAAAAAGAAAUCUGUCACGACCAGAAGUGAUACCGCAUCAGCUUCAACAAGUAAGCCUGCUUUGUAUGGUUUCGUCAAUGCACAAAAACAGUUACUGCCAGGAAAAGCUGGCCAAACUUCAACAGACACUCCGAGUGAAGCAGCUGGAGUAAGAAGCACAUAUAAUGGAAAUCUGGCAGCAAGAAACACUGUGAGUCCUCAGAAUAACGCUGCAAACAUUACCAUGCAAUAUGAGAGGGGUGCACUGUCACCUGAAAGCCAGUUCAGUGGGUCCUCCCUUCAGACUCAAACUUCUGGAGGCUCCAAUAUUUUGGCAUUGGAACCUGCACAGCAGCAGCAACAGGGUUUUGAAUUCUCAGCAGUUGGUCAGUCCAUGCAGCCUGCAGACCUGGACCCUUUCGAUCAAUGGUCACAGCCGCAAGAGAAUCGUGCGGUUGAUGACUACUUGAUGGAGGAGAUCAGGUUGAGGAGCCAUGAGAUACUUGAGAAUGACGAAAUGCAACAGAUGCUGCGAAUUUUGAAUAUGGGUGGAGUAUCUACCAACAUGAAUGAUGAUGGCUUCACUUUUCCGCAGUACAUGCAGUCACCUUCCCCGAACUUCAACUUUGAGGUUGACCGCACUCGUCCACCUGGGAAAGCUGUUGUUGGUUGGCUUAAAAUCAAGGCAGCUAUGAGGUGGGGCAUCUUCGUCAGGAAGAAAGCGGCCGAGCGAAGAGCUCAGCUCGUUGAGCUAGAUGAUGACUAG
rnacentral:rRNA from 1 species